rnacentral:rRNA from 1 species
CCUACGGGAGGCAGCAGUGGGGAAUAUUGCACAAUGGGGGAAACCCUGAUGCAGCGACGCCGCGUGAAGGAAGAAGUAUCUCGGUAUGUAAACUUCUAUCAGCAGGGAAGAUAAUGACGGUACCUGACUAAGAAGCCCCGGCUAACUACGUGCCAGCAGCCGCGGUAAUACGUAGGGGGCAAGCGUUAUCCGGAUUUACUGGGUGUAAAGGGAGCGUAGGCGGCGGAGCAAGUCAGAAGUGAAAGCCCGGGGCUCAACCCCGGGACGGCUUUUGAAACUGCCCUGCUUGAUUUCAGGAGAGGUAAGCGGAAUUCCUAGUGUAGCGGUGAAAUGCGUAGAUAUUAGGAGGAACACCAGUGGCGAAGGCGGCUUACUGGACUGACAAUGACGCUGAGGCUCGAAAGCGUGGGGAGCAAACAGGAUU